AUUUUUGAGAAGUUGGAGUACUAGUUCGUGGGAAAGUCGUAUCUACCGUGGAUACUCUUUAUUUGACACCUCCCCACUUCUCCUCCACGCCGCUGCCGUCGUCCUUGUCCGACCAACACCACUUUGCCGCCGUCUCCGUCGCCGGGUGUGGCCUGCACAGCCAUCUCCUCUCUCAUCUCCGCCUCACUGUUCGUCUCUCUCUCAUCUCCACAGGCAGCAGGGAAGUGCUGCGACGUUUUUGGAUCUGUGUGGCGUCGAAUCCGCGAGCCCGAGAGUUGGAGAUCUGAAAUACUCGCACUGCAGCCCGGUUUCCACCGAAUCGAUGGUCCCGGUUUAUCCAUCGAUAUUAGUUUGAUUUUUCCUCUGCAUCUUCUCUAUCGCUGUGCCGCCCCUUGCUGAACACGCCGCCGCUGUGAACACCCUGCCAGCUUGACGUCCCUCUUUCUCUGAAGCGAUGAAUUGGGUUCAACGCAAGAUUUAUCUUUACAACGUCACCUUCGGUCUCUACAUGCUCGAUUGGUGGGAGCGCUAUCUUUUCAAUACACUUGUUGUUGUGCUGAUGUGGUUUAUCUUCUACAACACUUCGAGAUACGUGACUGAUUUCUGCAAAAGGCACCUGCAUUGACGUAUAGCUUCUGUCCUCGGAUACUAGUGUGCAUUACCAUGUGGAGUAACGUCUGAGUCGUGUUUUAGCAGCGGACAACUGAAAAUGUGCUCAAGCAAUUCAAAUGUAUGUACUUUCUCAUUUCCAGACUUCAAAGGAUCAAUCUGUCUUAUGUCCUCUUGAUCCCACUCAAGAAAUUAUGCAUUUGUAAUGAUGUAAAAGGUCAGACUCACUGAUUCUGCUUAGCCAUUUAAGUUUCAGUCUUUGCCUUUGAAUGAAUUUUAAAGCUAAAUGUUUUUUCAGUCACUGAAUUUGAUUUUUAA